GAACGAACGCUGGCGGCGCGUUUAAGCAUGCAAGUCGAGCGGCAAGGGCCUUCGGGCCCCUAGAGCGGCGGACGGGUGAGUAACACGUGGACAAUCUGCCCCCCGGCCCGGGAUAGCCCAGGGAAACCUGGAUUAAUACCGGAUGAGACGGGACCCGCGAUGGCGGGAUCCGGGAAAGGCGCUGCGGCGCCGCCGGGGGAUGAGUCUGCGUCCCAUUAGCUAGACGGCGGGGUAACGGCCCACCGUGGCGACGAUGGGUAGCCGGCCUGAGAGGGUGGACGGCCACAUUGGAACUGAGACACGGUCCAGACUCCUACGGGAGGCAGCAGCUAAGAAUCUUCCGCAAUGGGCGAAAGCCUGACGGAAGCGACGCCGCGUGAACGAAGAAGGCCGUGAGGUUGUAAAGUUCUUUUCGGGAGGGGGAACAACCGUGGCAGGGAAUGGCCGCGGGAUGACGUGAAUCCCGGAAUAAGCCCCGGCUAACUACGUGCCAGCCGCCGC
rnacentral:rRNA from 1 species